rnacentral:rRNA from 1 species
UACAGAGGUCCCAAGCGUUGUUCGGAUUCAUUGGGCGUAAAGGGUGCGUAGGCGGCGCGGUAAGUCGGGUGUGAAAUCUCGGGGCUUAACUCCGAAACUGCACUCGAUACUGCCGUGCUUGAGGACUGGAGAGGAGACUGGAAUUUACGGUGUAGCGGUGAAAUGCGUAGAUAUCGUAAGGAAGACCAGUGGCGAAGGCGGGUCUCUGGACAGUUCCUGACGCUGAGGCACGAAGGUCAGGGGAGCAAACGGG